AUUGAACGCUGGCGGCAUGCCUUACACAUGCAAGUCGAACGGCAGCACGGGAGCAAUCCUGGUGGCGAGUGGCGAACGGGUGAGUAAUACAUCGGAACGUGCCCAAUCGUGGGGGAUAACGCAGCGAAAGCUGUGCUAAUACCGCAUACGAUCUACGGAUGAAAGCAGGGGACCGCAAGGCCUUGCGCGUAUGUAGCUGCCGAUGGCAGAUUAGGUAGUUGGUGGGGUAAAGGCUCACCAAGCCAACCAUCUGUAGCUGGUCUGAGAGGACGACCAGCCACACUGGAACUGAGACACGGCCCAGACUCCUACGGGAGGCAGCAGUGGGGAAUUUUGGACAAGGGGCGAAAGCCUGAUCCAGCAAUGCCGCGUGCAGGAUGAAGGCCUUCGGGUUGUAAACUGCUUUUGUACGGAACGAAACGGAGUUUUCUAAUAAAGAGGGCUAAUGACGGUACCGUAAGAAUAAGCACCGGCUAACUACGUG
rnacentral:rRNA from 1 species